AAGAAAAAGUCACAUCAAGAAUUAAACGAUUCCUGGCAUCUGGUUACUUUCUGUCAUAGAACAACACAGAAGGAACAGUAAAAAGCUGUUGUAUUUCUGGACGAGAUCUGAAUAGUGAUGCACUAGCAACCCAAUUUCUUACACUGAUUUCUUUCUUAGGAUAUAAGCAUAUCCAGACCCUCUUUGGAAUAGGAGACAAGGGCAAAGAAGCAACCUCAGCAGAGCUGCUCGUUGUCUUUUUCUGUCUGCAGUGCAAAUGAAUUAUUGCCCCACUAAAAUGCAACUCUGCAACACAGCUUCCUACUCAUGGGAUUCACCAGCAGGACUAAUGUGACAGUGCUACAGAUGGCACCUGUGCUGUGUUUGCUGAAUGGUGCAUCUGAUGUAACACAGGUUAGGUUGUAGCAUCAUCAAGACUUUCAGUAAGGCCAAAGUGUGUUUCCCUGCCUUCUUGCGGGUAGAACACAACUGGCAGAGAACAGAAACACAGGAAAGGAUGGACAGGAUUUCUUAAAAGUUGAUGAAAAAAGUCUUAACAGUUUGUUCACAGCAACUCAAAUUUAUGUCAGCUAGGCAAAGACAGGCUUUAGGGCUUCUUGCCAACAUCUCUUUAUUAGAACUUGAAAAGCAAGACUGCACUGGACAAGCAGAAUGAGUGGCUACGAAGAAGAACCCUCAAGACUUUAGGGCUGUCUGGAAGAAGAAAUGUACCUACCUUACUAAUACAUCUGGUGGGAAACUGAAUGCACUACAUGCAAGUUACUACUACCAGCAUGACAGAGUUAUCCUUUUCCUCAUCCCUGUUUUUCUUCCAGUACUUCUGCUCCUAAGCCCACCUUUGCAUCAGCACACGCUUUCUAAUUGCGUGCUUUGAAGAGCCAGCUUUGAAAAGUCAGAAAGCCUUUCAGUUAUUACCUUCCACAAGUCUCCUGGAAGAUGCCAGCAUCAAAGCCAUCCCCAAGUCUGCAGUGUCAGUGGAAACAAUUGAUGGAGUGUUAGACACUUUCACACCAUAGCUGGAGAGGAGAUUCAGAUCCAAGUGAUCUACUCCUGCUCCAGAGCUUGCAACUAUCUUCAGGUUAGGCAGGCUCUGCAGCAGCUCCUCAUUAAUAACCGGUUUGUGAUACCACAUAUAAAUAGCUCUGAUCUUUUUGCCAAGAAAGCUCUUGUUUUCAAGAUAUUCUUUCAUGGUGAUGAGACAGAAACGUUCCUUUAGAAAUUCAGCAUGGUCUUCGUAUACCCCAUGCUUCCCUCCGAUGCAGUCAAUUAGCACACAGGGCAGCUCCUGACCCUCCAUGUCCUGCAAAAGCAAUGAGAAACCAAAAUGACAUCUCCCGCUGCAGGUUUUUUGAAAACAGGAACUGAUCGGCUCGGUUGCAUGCUCUUUUCUCACUUGAGGAUCGAUCUGGUCAAAGAUGUUUGCUCUCGUGAGUGGAACACGCGAGUUCACCAACCCGUCUUCAGAAGGAUGCGACUGUGAUUCGCAAGCACAGUCCUGGCACCAGAGCUACAGAAAAGUUCAGCGUCACACGCCGCCAACAGCAGCUGGCAAGCCUGCUUUGCUGGCUAACAACAAGCAGCAGUGCCCGCCCCAGGACCGCCGCAAAGCAGUACCGCUCUCUCGCCCCGGCUGCUCGAAACAAGCACGCACCUUCCCUGCAACGCAACGCAACGUCCCGUCCCCCACCGGAUCCCCCGCCACCGCAGCACGGCUCGGCAGACCCAGGGCGGGCUGGGACACGCCAAAAGUCCUCUCAGAAGGCGCUUGCGGACGGGACCGGAGACGUGAGCGCGCCUGAGAGACAGCCCGCCUCCUCCCGGCGGGAGCGAGCCGCCCGGCUCUCGAUGGUGAGCGAGGCACUCCAGGAAGGCUCUGACCUGUGCGGUAGGAGCAGCCGAGAGCCAGAAAACCCCGCCUGAGGCCAGGGACCUCUUUUCCUUCCGAGCCGAGAAGGGACCAGCACUUGUGAACUACUACACUGUCCUGAGCUCUGCAGCACUUUGCAGUUGCACAAUUGCAUACAGGACUGGCCGACGUCUGCAGUGUCGACAAGGUGCUUGCAUAAUGAUUGUUUCUUAAGGCAAGGCCAACCCAAGGAAGCAACUACCUCUCACUCACAGAUUAUGCCACAAGAACAUUUGAUGCAUUUGAUGUGCAUUUGAUUGGAAGCCAUCAUGAAGCACCACCACUAACCUGCCUGCUUGCUUCAGGUAAGGCCUGCAUCUCAUUAGACUGUUGUAGCAGCAGUCUGUGCUACGUCAUACAGUGUGCCUGUCCAAACAGACCUGCACUAACAGAACAAAUGUCACAUUUUGCAUUACAGUGUCUGCUGCAGUUUUUUAUUCUUCUUUUAGAGAGUUUAAAACUGAAGGUAUUAUGUCUUCCAAGUACAAUCUAAGUAGAAUAAGAGGAGGGAAACAGCAUGGAAAGAUGACCUUAACUGUAUGUAAGUUAAUUUGAUGCUAUUCAAUACGUAUUUAGAUUGAGGAAAGGUAGGAAAUGGAGGAAUAUUUCUUAUGGAAUUUGAAGAUAAGAGGCACUUGCUUCCUGAAGACACUGUUAGGAAGCUGUACUUCAGGUCAUGACUCCCAGUUUGUAAGGCGAUGUCAAGUAGUUAGGUGUUGUAUUGGAAUCAAACCCAUCCUUCCAAGCUGACAGCUGCCCAGCACUCCGUCUGAAGCGCUGCACUGGCAAGGAGCACUUCUCUAGAAGAUCAGCUCAGACUCCUAAAUAUCUGCAGCAGUGGAAGUAAAAGCAAGCAAAUGACAAGUGCAUUCUGUUCUUUUGGGUGCUCGUGAAAUGAUGUCCUGUUUGCUGCUUCUGUUUCAAUCUGGAGAAGUUUGUAGGCGCAAACUCUUUUCUCUAGUUUGUGGAUAUUAAUCUAAUACAUGGUAUUUUUUUUUCAUCUGUUCCUGUAGAUACCGGUGGCUUUGUUUUCAGCUUUGCAAUUUGUCACUUAGCCUUUUAUUAUGAAAGGAUAGACUUACAUUUGUCAGGAUAAUGCUGGUGAGAUCAAACACAUAGUGGGUGCCUGUACCUCAGGGAACAGGAGGUCUUUUGUAGAAGGAACAUGGGACAGUCCUAAAAUUCUUGUAAGCAAAAAUGCUGCUCCUUAAAAGCUACAGUAAUUUGUUUCCCCGAGCCACUAGAGUUGUUAUACACAGGUUCCAAAACCUAGGUAUGCUAACAUUCACUGUUUGGUCUCCAUAAACAUUAAACAAGCAUUGAUGACUGCCAUUUUUUCUGCAUGGAGAAAUUCAGUU